GACGAACGCUGGCGGCGUGCCUAAUACAUGCAAGUCGAGCGGACCAAACAGGAGCUUGCUCUUGUUUGGUUAGCGGCGGACGGGUGAGUAACACGUGGGUAACCUGCCCGUAAGACCGGGAUAACUCCGGGAAACCGGAGCUAAUACCGGAUAACACCGAAGACCGCAUGGUCUUUGGUUGAAAGGCGGCUUCGGCUGCCACUUACGGAUGGGCCCGCGGCGCAUUAGCUAGUUGGUGAGGUAACGGCUCACCAAGGCGACGAUGCGUAGCCGGCCUGAGAGGGUGACAGGCCACACUGGGACUGAGACACGGCCCAGACUCCUACGGGAGGCAGCAGUAGGGAAGCUUCCGCAAUGGACGAAAGUCUGACGGAGCGACGCCGCGUGAGCGAAGAAGGGCUUCGGAUCGUAAAGCUCUGUUGUUAGGGAAGAAGAAGCGCCGUUCGAACAGGGCGGCGCGGUGACGGUACCUAACGAGAAAGCCCCGGCUAACUACGUG
rnacentral:rRNA from 1 species